rnacentral:rRNA from 1 species
GAUGAACGCUAGCGGCAGGCUUAAUACAUGCAAGUCGAGGGGCAGCAGCUCUGUAGCAAUACAGAGGCUGGCGACCGGCAAACGGGUGCGGAACACGCACGCAACUUACCCAUAACUGGUGAAUAGCCCUCCGAAAGGAGGAUUAAUACAUCGUAACAUAAUGAUCCCGCAUGGGAUUAUUAUUAUAGCUCCGGCGGUUAUGGAUGGGCGUGCGGCNGAUUAGGUAGUUGGCGGAGUAAUAGCCCACCAAGCCUACGAUCAGUAACUGGUGUGAGAGCACGACCAGUCACACGGGCACUGAGACACGGGCCC